GAUGAACGCUGGCGGCGUGCCUAAUACAUGCAAGUCGAGCGAACAGACGAGGAGCUUGCUCCUCUGACGUUAGCGGCGGACGGGUGAGUAACACGUGGAUAACCUACCUAUAAGACUGGGAUAACUUCGGGAAACCGGAGCUAAUACCGGAUAAUAUAUUGAACCGCAUGGUUCAAUAGUGAAAGACGGUUUUGCUGUCACUUAUAGAUGGAUCCGCGCCGCAUUAGCUAGUUGGUAAGGUAACGGCUUACCAAGGCAACGAUGCGUAGCCGACCUGAGAGAGUGAUCGGCCACACUGGAACUGAGACACGGUCCAGACUCCUACGGGAGGCAGCAGUAGGGAAUCUUCCGCAAUGGGCGAAAGCUUGACGGAGCAACGCCGCGUGAGUGAUGAAGGUCUUCGGAUCGUAAAACUCUGUUAUUAGGGAAGAACAAAUGUGUAAGUAACUAUGCACGUCUUGACGGUGCCUAAUCAGAAAGCCACGGCUAACUACGUG
rnacentral:rRNA from 1 species